rnacentral:rRNA from 1 species
UCUCCGGAUUCGAUUAGAGUUUGAUCCUGGCUCAGGAUGAUCGCUGGCGGCAUGCCUAAAACAUGCAAGUCGAGCGGUAAGGCCCCUUCGGGGGUACACGAGCGGCGGUCGGGUGAGUAACGCGUGGGAAUCUACCCCAAACUGAGGGAUAAGCACUGGAAACGGUGUCUAAUACCGCAUAUGGUCUUCGGAUUAAAGCUUCGGCGGUUUGGGAAGAGCCCGCGUAAGAUUAGCUAGUUGGUGAGGUAAAGGCUCACCAAGGCGACGAUCUUUAACUGGUUUGAGAGGAUGAUCAGUCACACUGGAACUGAGACACGGUCCAGACUCCUACGGGAGGCAGCAGUUAGGAAUUUUCCACAAUGGGCGAAAGCCUGAUGGAGCAAUGCCGCGUGCAGGAUGAAUGCCUUAGGGUUGUAAACUGCUUUUAUACGUGAAGAAUAUGACGGUAAUGUAUGAAUAAGGGAUCGGCUAACUCCGUGCCAGCAGCCGCGGUCAUACGGAGGAUCCAAGCGUUAUCCGGAUUUACUGGGCGUAAAGAGUUGCG